rnacentral:rRNA from 1 species
CCUACGGGAGGCUGCAGUGGGGAAUAUUGGACAAUGGGGGGAACCCUGAUCCAGCCAUGCCGCGUGUGUGAAGAAGGCCCUCGGGUUGUAAAGCACUUUCAGUGAGGAAGAACGCCUGGUGGUUAAUACCCAUCAGGAAAGACAUCACUCACAGAAGAAGCACCGGCUAACUCCGUGCCAGCAGCCGCGGUAAUACGGAGGGUGCGAGCGUUAAUCGGAAUUACUGGGCGUAAAGCGCGCGUAGGUGGCUUGAUAAGCCGGUUGUGAAAGCCCCGGGCUCAACCUGGGAACGGCAUCCGGAACUGUCAAGCUAGAGUGAAGGAGAGGAAGGUAGAAUUCCCGGUGUAGCGGUGAAAUGCGUAGAGAUCGGGAGGAAUACCAGUGGCGAAGGCGGCCUUCUGGACUGACACUGACACUGAGGUGCGAAAGCGUGGGUAGCAAACAGGAUUAGAUACCCGAGUAGUC